GAUGAACGCUAGCGGCAGGCUUAAUACAUGCAAGUCGAGGGGUCAGCAAUGACAACGGCGGACGGGUGCGUAACGUGUAUGCAACCUACCUACAUCAGGGGGAUAGCCCUAGGAAACUGGGAUUCACACCGCAUAAACGUAUUGAUGGCAUCAUUGAUAUUUGAAAUACUUUCACGAUGGUGCUGGGAAUGCGUAAGAUUGGCGAGUUGGUAAGGAAUCGGCUUACCAAGGCUAAGACCUUUAGGGACUCUGAGAGGAGUAUCCCCCACAAUGGCACUAGGAUACGGGCCAGACUCCUACGUGAGGCAGCAGUAGGGAAUAUUGGGCAAUGGAGGCAACUCUGACCCGGCCAUGCCGCGUGCAGGAAGACGGCCCUCUGGGUUGUAAACUGCUUUGGAAUGGGAAGAAUGUGAUGUUUGCGAGCAUUAAUGACGGUACCAUUAGAAUAAGCCACGGCUAACUACGUGCCAGCAGCCGCGUAAAAC
rnacentral:rRNA from 1 species